GUCGAACGAUGAACCACUUCGGUGGGGAUUAGUGGCGAACGGGUGAGUAACACGUGGGCAAUCUGCCCUUCACUCUGGGACAAGCCCUGGAAACGGGGUCUAAUACCGGAUAUCACUUCCACUCGCAUGGGUGGGGGUCGAAAGCUCCGGCGGUGAAGGAUGAGCCCGCGGCCUAUCAGCUUGUUGGUGAGGUAAUGGCUCACCAAGGCGACGACGGGUAGCCGGCCUGAGAGGGCGACCGGCCACACUGGGACUGAGACACGGCCCAGACUCCUACGGGAGGCAGCAGUGGGGAAUAUUGCACAAUGGGCGAAAGCCUGAUGCAGCGACGCCGCGUGAGGGAUGACGGCCUUCGGGUUGUAAACCUCUUUCAGCAGGGAAGAAGCGAAAGUGACGGUACCUGCAGAAGAAGCGCCGGCUAACUACGUGCCAGCAGCCGCGGUAAUACGUAGGGCGCAAGCGUUGUCCGGAAUUAUUGGGCGUAAAGAGCUCGUAGGCGGUCUGUCGCGUCGGAUGUGAAAGCCCGGGGCUUAACCCCGGGUCUGCAUUCGAUACGGGCAGACUAGAGUGUGGUAGGGGAGAUCGGAAUUCCUGGUGUAGCGGUGAAAUGCGCAGAUAUCAGGAGGAACACCGGUGGCGAAGGCGGAUCUCUGGGCCAUUACUGACGCUGAGGAGCGAAAGCGUGGGGAGCGAACAGGAUUAGAUACCCUGGUAGUCCACGCCGUAAACGGU
rnacentral:rRNA from 1 species